rnacentral:lncRNA from 1 species
AUGGUCAAUCCCACCAUGCUUGUACAUUGUGGCCUUAUGGUAAACCUUUAGUCUGUGUCUCUUCAAGCUGUUUUCAAAGUUUCAAAGAAAGCAGAAAACUUUUGUGCUCUGAGCACUGGAGAGGAAAGCUUUGCUUGUAAGGGUUCCUGCUUUCACAGAAUUAUUAUAGGAUUUGUCUGCCAGGGUGGAUAUUUCAAACACCCUAAUGACACUGGCAGCAAGUCACUCUACCACGGGAAAUCUGAUGGUGAGAACUUCAUCCUG